rnacentral:rRNA from 1 species
AAUGAACGCUGGCGGCGCGCCUAAUACAUGCAAGUCGAGCGAGAAGACGUAGCAAUACGUUUGUAAAGCGGCGAACGGGUGAGGAAUACAUGGGUAACCUACCCUAGAGUGGGGAAUAACUAGCCGAAAGGUUAGCUAAUACCGCGUACGCUCCUUGGACUUCGGUUCAGGGAGGAAAGCGAUGCCGAGGGUAUCGCGCUCUUGGAUGGGCUCAUGUCCUAUCAGCUUGUUGGGAGGUAACGGCUCACCAAGGCUUCGACGGGUAGCUGGUCUGAGAGGACGAUCAGCCACACUGGCACUGCGACACGGGCCAGACUCUACGGGAGCAGCAGUAAGGAAUAUUGCGCAAUGGGCGAAAGCCUGACGCAGCGACGCCGC